rnacentral:rRNA from 1 species
CGCGUGUACUGGUCCGGCCGGGCCUUUCCCUCUGUGGAACCCCAUGCCCUUCACUGGGUGUGGCGGGGAAACAGGACUUUUACUGUGAAAAAAUUAGAGUGCUCCAGGCAGGCCUAUGCUCGAAUACAUUAGCACGGAAUAAUAGAAUAGGACGUGUGGUUCUAUUUUGUUGGUUUCUAGGACCGCCGUAAUGAUUAAUAGGGACAGUCGGGGGCAUCAGUAUUCAAUUGUCAGAGGUGAAAUUCUUGGAUUUAUUGAAGACUAACUACUGCGAAAGCAUUUGCCAAGGAUGUUUUCAUUAAUCAGGAACGAAAGUUAGGGGAUCGAAGACGAUCAGAUACCGUCGUAGUCUUAACCAUAAACUAUGCCGACUAGGGAUCGGACGGUGUUAUAUUUUGACCCGUUCGGCACCUUACGAGAAAUCAAAGUGCUUGGGCUCCAGGGGGAGUAUGGUCGCAAGGCUGAAACUUAAAGAAAUUGACGGAAGGGCACCACCAGGGGUGGAGCCUGCGGCUUAAUUUGACUCAACACGGGGAAACUCACCAGGUCCAGACACAAUGAGGAUUGACAGAUUGAGAGCUCUUUCUUGAUUUUGUGGGUGGUGGUGCAUGGCCGUUCUUAGUUGGUGGAGUGAUUUGUCUGCUUAAUUGCGAUAACGAACGAGACCUUAACCUGCUAAAUAGCCCGUAUUGCUUUGGCAGUACGCUGGCUUCUUAGAGGGACUAUCGG